CCGUUAUAACCGGCGAUUUCCGAAUGGGGAAACCCAGUGUGAUUCGUCACACUAUCAUUAACUGAAUCCAUAGGUUAAUGAGGCGAACCGGGGGAACUGAAACAUCUAAGUACCCCGAGGAAAAGAAAUCAACCGAGAUUCCCCCAGUAGCGGCGAGCGAACGGGGAGCAGCCCAGAGCCUGAAUCAGUGUGUGUGUUAGUGGAAGCGUCUGGAAAGGCGCGCGAUACAGGGUGACAGCCCCGUACACAAAAAUGCACAUGCUGUGAGCUCGAUGAGUAGGGCGGGACACGUGGUAUCCUGUCUGAAUAUGGGGGGACCAUCCUCCAAGGCUAAAUACUCCUGACUGACCGAUAGUGAACCAGUACCGUGAGGGAAAGGCGAAAAGAACCCCGGCGAGGGGAGUGAAAAAGAACCUGAAACCGUGUACGU
rnacentral:rRNA from 1 species